AGUGAACGCUGGCGGUAGGCCUAACACAUGCAAGUCGAACGGCAGCACAGUAAGAGCUUGCUCUUACGGGUGGCGAGUGGCGGACGGGUGAGGAAUACAUCGGAAUCUACUUUUUCGUGGGGGAUAACGUAGGGAAACUUACGCUAAUACCGCAUGCGACCUACGGGUGAAAGCAGGGGAUCUUCGGACCUUGCGCGAUUGAAUGAGCCGAUGUCGGAUUAGCUAGUUGGCGGGGUAAAGGCCCACCAAGGCGACGAUCCGUAGCUGGUCUGAGAGGAUGAUCAGCCACACUGGAACUGAGACACGGUCCAGACUCCUACGGGAGGCAGCAGUGGGGAAUAUUGGACAAAGGGCGCAAGCCUGAUCCAGCCAUACCGCGUGGGUGAAGAAGGCCUUCGGGUUGUAAAGCCCUUUUGUUGGGAAAGAAAAGCAGCAGGUUAAUACCCCGCUGUUCUGACGGUACCCAAGGAAUAAGCACCGGCUAACUUCGUG
rnacentral:rRNA from 1 species